rnacentral:lncRNA from 1 species
CUCUUGUCUCCCUCACAUCAGCCAUUAAAGUUUUCAAAGCUGUGCGGGGACCACCUGCCCGGGGCCUACCUGCCUGGGUGUUACUCUUCAGCUGCCCGGGGACCCAGGGCCUGCCUUCCUGGGCACCACUCUUCUUCAGCUUCCUGGGACCUGUCUGCCUCCAUGCCACUCUUCUGCCCAGCCAGCCUCCCUGCCAUUAGCAGUGGGGCCAACAGCAAGAGCCACAGCCAGAUCCAGACAAUGGCAGAGAGCAGAAAGACCAUUGUUCUGAGCUCAGGAAGAUGGCAGAGUGGUGAGCAACAGAGAGAAGGCCUCUCUCAGGACUGUGGCUGAGAAUUGAAGCCCACUGGGAGAGGGAAGAUAGCCACUGCAAUAAAGACCCAGUGGACUUCAGUGGUUGUAAAUGAAAACAAAACAAAACAAAAAACCUCAAAACAGCUUCAAACAGUGACAAAGAAAGGACUUGACAAGGAUGCUAGAAAUUAGCAGGAACAGGAUACAGUACUUGCUGUGGGAACUUGGAAACUUCUGAACAUCACAGGCUGAGAAGGUUUCAUGAGGCCAUUAGGAGAAUUAAAGAAGCAACAAGUCACUUCAUUUUCUGUGGGAAGCUGAGCCGAUCCCAGCACCCGGAAGGAAGCUCCCCCGCCACCAUCCCAAGCUCCUAGGGCAGAGAAGGUGAGCUGGUCCCAGAACCCAGAAGGAAGCUCCACCACCGCCAUCCCAAGCUCUUAGGGGAGAGAAGAUGUUGGCCACCAUACAGAAGGCUGCAAAGCACAUGCGAGUGCAAAUACCCCUAUGAGAUCCAGAUCACAAUUCUUUGGGAGUAAGUUCCCAGAAGUGGGAUUUCUGGAGGCCACUGGCUAUCAUGAGGAGGAAAAUUUAUGUAUCAUCUAUGAAGGUGCCCAUCUGAAUGAGGUCUCUGUUGACUUACCCGCGGGCCGGGACAAGUGGCGCCCAACGUGGGGCCAGAGAACGGGGGAUCCAGUGAAGGACGCUGCUCAGGGGCCCUAAGAUUAAGAUUGAGGAACAAAGAGCAUACUCGACAUAGAAGAGGCUUGCGAUUGACGUGGACCUGCCGUCUUUUUGCACCUCGGAAACAUCGUCAUCAUUUAAAGUUUGGACCUCCGGCGCACAAUAAAGAGGGAACUCAUGAAGGACAUCUGGCUGAAUGAACGAUCCGAAAACAAGAAUAGGAUGAGCUGGAAAUGCCUAGUUCCCCUGAUAUUGCUGACCAGGGUAUGGGUGGUGUCGCCUUCAGAAGGGUUAGACCACAUGAAAAAUAUAUGGAUUCAGUUGGCAGGCUCGCUCAACUUGUCUGAGUUUUGUCUAAGUGCUGAUGUAAACUUUCAUUAUAUGUUGGGAAGUUGCCUCGUUCCUGUAUGUACCCCAUUGGAAUCAUUGCGGCCUUAUACUCUGUUUAAAGAUAUCCCAGG